rnacentral:rRNA from 1 species
GCUUGUCUCAAAGAUUAAGCCAUGCAUGUCUUAGUGUAAAUAACUCUUAUGAAACUGCGAAUGGCUCAUUAAAUCAGUUAUCGUUUAUUUGAUGGUCCCUUACUACAUGGAUACCCGUGGUAACCCAGAGCUAAUACAUGCAGGAGGGCCCGCCGCAGGGGGGGCCGUGUUUAUUAGGUAAAAACCAAUGCACUCGCGUGCACACUGGCGAUUCAUAGUAACUGGCGGAUCGUAGGGCCGCGCGCCGACGACGGACCAUUCAAAUUUCUGCCCUAUCAACUGUCGAUGGUAGGAUAGAGGCCUACCAUGGUUACAACGGGUAACGGAGAAUUAGGGUUCGGUUCCGGAGAGGGAGCCUGAGAAACGGCUGCCACAUCCAAGGAAGGCAGCAGG